rnacentral:rRNA from 1 species
UACGUAGGGGGCAAGCGUUGUCCGGAAUCAUUGGGCGUAAAGAGCGUGUAGGCGGCCCGAUAAGUCCGCUGUGAAAGUCCAGGGCUCAACCCUGGGAUGCCGGUGGAUACUGUCGGGCUCGAGUCCGGAAGAGGAGUGUGGAAUUCCUGGUGUAGCGGUGAAAUGCGCAGAUAUCAGGAGGAACACCUAUUGCGAAGGCAGCUCGCUGGGACGUAACUGACGCUGAGACGCGAAAGCGUGGGGAGCAAACAGG